ACCACGCUUUCCAUACUCGCACUUGUGCAAUACAGACAAGGACUGCAGGAGGGAAAGGUGCCAAUUUCAUUUCAACUGCUGCGACGUGUGCGUAAAUGUUGAAUUCACUCGUAUCACUACAGUCCCCUUGAUGUCGACCUCUAUGUCCCAGCUGGGUCAGUACACCAGCCAACUAAUGAGGGUGUUUAAGAAGAAGGGAGGAACAUCAGGAUGCAACAUCAGCAUGAUCAUGGCAGCCAUGGACAAGAAUCCAGUGUUGAAGUACGACUGGAAUGCAUCCUAAAAGCAUUGUGUUUGUACCUAAAUGAAAAUCCAGACAGCGUCAUUAAGGAGUACUUGACAGGAAGUGGUCAUCAGGAAGUGUGGAGCCAAACGACAACAAGAUUCUCAGAGGGCGGAGCCAGAGAGCAGUGAUUGGUCAGACCAUACACAUCUGUAGAAGACUUCCAUAUAUUUUUAUGGUCAGCACGUGUGGUAGCAUCUGUGGCUGCUGUUGACUUUGUUUUUGGAGUAAAACACGGUGGAAGCUGAAUUAGUGAGGAUGACUCCUGCUCCUGUCAUCUCUAAGCUCCUCACACAUCUUUACCUGCACAUGAGGAAAAUCACUCCUGUAGAAUGCAGAUGUUCAGAGGGAGAUGAUGCCACAUCUGGUCCAGCCGAUGGAAGGUCUUGAAGUUCUCUGACUGGCCUCGACUGAAGAUGGUCGUCUCACUGGAUUUAAGGUUCAGAUGCUCAGUAACAAACUCCACCAAUGAGCCAACAGGGAGGCUUUAGGUUUAUUAAAUGUUGCUAUGAAGGUAUCACUGUUUUUCUUUGUGAAUGCAAUGUGCUGCAACUGAAACUUGAAUUAGAACUUGGAAGUAAAUCCUUCCAUCUGAAAGGAUUUAGUUGCAUUAAUAACCUCAUAACAUUCUAAUUUUUAUUCCAGUCUUAGUUGGAAAUAGAAUCUCUGUAUUGAUUCAGGUAAAAACUGAACUUCACAGCAUGUUGGAGCAAAACAACCAGAUGAAAACUGUGAUGAUGUUGGAUUGUCAGACCGUAAUGUUGCAGCUCAAAGCAGCUUUUCUAGCUCAGUUCAUUCUGACAUUCAGCUAUGAAUCAACACAGCAGAUGGUGAUCCAUGCUGUGGAAGUCUCACAUCUCCUGAUUUAAUGGAGCUGCUUUGCACUUUUUACACUGUUUAUUCACCAACACUUUAUUUAAUAAAAGUCCCAUCUAGUUUUUAUGAGGAAUGUGAUGUUUUAAUUUCUCUGUGAAUAACUGCAGUCUAAUGCAACAGCUGGAAUUGUAACAUCUGUCCUGAUAUUGAUCAUGAAGUAUUGAUCAGAAUACUUAUGGUUAGCAGUCAUCCCUGAAAUUUUACAUUAAAAUCUUUACUUGUGUUGUGAACUUUGGUAAGAAGCAGAAAGUUUAGCGUUGCCAUGGAUACAUGAGUGUUAAAUUCUGUCCAUGUUUCCAUUGUGGGAAAUUCAGUCCAGCAGAUCAAUCUGUUUUUACUGCCAGCUACCAUUCAGUCUGAGAUAUUAAGAAUAAAUAACUGUGCAUAGUGUGGAAAUGAACAGAUUCUAUUUUUAUUUAUUCCUACAGCUGAGAGAAGAAUGUGGAGGAAUUUAGUCUCACAAUCACAGACAAUAAAUAUUAUCUGAAAGUCAGGUUAUUGUUGUUUAUCAGCACAAUACAAAAAGAUUCAUUUUAGAAAUGUUCCAGUUAAGACUCUAGAAUAUCAUGAUUUAUGUAAAUUUACCUCAAUAAUAUGAAUGUUCAGGUUAAGAUUGUGCAGUGAUAUUAUGUAAGUUUAGCUCAUUAAAGUUUGACUCUGCACUACAAUAUUAUUUAUUAUUUAAAUUUAUAUCUUUAUUAUAAUAUUUAGGAUUAGACCCUACACGGUGCCCGCGGACACCAAGUCGCCCGCAGGCCUGUUCUAAAAAUAGCACAACUCGCAAGUGAGCUGCGUCUAAGAUGUAAUUUUUUCUGCUGCUAUUUUUUAAAAUCACACUUGCAUUUAUAUAGAUUUUAAAAUGACAAUGUCUUAAAAAUAAAAGAAAAUAAAAAUGUUUAUUAUACGUAAAGUUAAGGUGAACCUAGUUCAAAGGUCUGUAUUGUACGCAUGACAAAACCUUCGCGCUUGUGGAGAGUAAGCUAGCGGGCAGUGAAAAUGGUGAGCGGAGUGCAGUUUCCUACCCCAAAAACAUGGCAAAAAAAAGACAGAAAAUUUAUCAUUUUCAAAGUGAAUCGGAGGAAGAGUUCUUUUUUACUACUGUGAAAGGAAGCUGCGUGUGUUUCAUUUGCGGGGUGACUGUGGCGACAGCGAAGCGGCACAAUGUGGAGCGACACUUCACUACGUGUCACGAAAGCUACAAUGCUAACUAUCCACCGGGAAGCAUUCUACGGUCAGAGAAGGCCCGUGAGCUAAAGGCAGCUUUGGAUAAGCGGCAGUCUUUUUUUACGAAGCCGGCGAAAAAAUCCCGAAAAGCAACCAAAGCCUUAUUUAGAGCUACACGUUUUCCGGUAAAGAAGAAAAAGGUCUUUACAGACUGCCCUACAGUAUUGAGAUUAAGAAAUCAAAUAUCCUAUAAAGUGUAAAUACACUGAACUAAUUUGGAUAUAUUUAAGUGAGACUCUACAAUAUUAUUUGACACAUCUAUCUAAAUCCAAAUUUUAGUAAUUUUUACUCCAAACAUUUACUGGACUGAUUUAAACAUUAAAAUCACUCCUUUCUAAUCCUCUGCUGUAUGUUCAAACCUGAGGCCUGAAAUAGAAACACACAAGUAUCUGAUUGAAGGAACUUCUGCAGAGUCCUGGUUCCAGAACAUGAUGAUAGAAUUAUAGACAAACUUUAACAAAAGCUGCCUGAGAGUUUACAGGUUUUUAUGUUAGAUUUCUUCAGUAAUUUAGUGAGUUAUCAGCAAAAAUCAAGUGUUUGAUUUGAUUUGAUGAACUUCAUUUCCUAAAACAUCCAGAAUUGGAGCUCAUAUCUUUGGCAGCUAUAAAGUUUCUGCUCCUUCAAAGUUCACAACACAAUGAAUGAAUUCCUAAUACACUCUCAAUGCUGGAGAGCGUUUGUGAUGCUGAAGCAGUGACCAGUUUUUCUGUUUCUUCUCUGGAGAUGCACAAUGAGGGACGUCUGCAGCGACUGAGAAAGAGUCUCACCACAUCCUGACAUGAGGAAAAAGACUUUAUUGAAGACUACAAUGAGAAAAACUAUCAGACAGCAGACAGCAUGCGUUCAAGGUGAGCUCUGAACAUUUGAUCUGGAACAUGAAUUCAAUCACGGCAGCAUGAGCUUCAUUUCAGUCUGUAGCUGCUGAAUUCAUGGAUGAAUCAUCUGGCACUAGAGAGGAAGACCAUCAAACAUCCACGUCAGCUGAUGGAGGUCCAAGAGUCUCACCAAACAAACAACCUACAGAGUGAAGACCUCGAAUCUGAUUGGACGGCCUCCUAUUCAGCCACAUGUGUGAACAAAUGCCUCUAAGAUGAUUUGUUUUCUAAAAUAAAUCUAGUUUGAGUCCUAA